rnacentral:lncRNA from 1 species
AUGAGGAAGGGAAAGGACCCUACUGCUUUUUUCUCCGUGGAGAGAAAGACUGAAGAAAAUGACUAUAACAUCCUAAAGAUGACAGUUGCUGGCACUGCAGAGACAGGCCCAGUGUUUUGGCGCCUCACCACAUUCUCUGCUCUCCAGUCGCCUCUUCCUCCAGGGAAUCUCCAAAGUGGCAACUUCUUCAACUUUAGGGAGCAAAGAAUUUUGAAACAUUGAAGAUACGGUGAAAAAUGGAGACAUGCAACGUCAUAUCUGUUAAAAAUCACUCUUGUACAUAUAUAUAACAGCAAAUUCCUGGUGUUCUGACCAACUCUGUAGAACUGUUUGUGGGCAUUUUAAAAUGUGAGUGAAUUCUUUACCCCUUCUAAUAAACCUUUAUCUCAUGAUUUAUGCA